rnacentral:rRNA from 1 species
GACGAACGCUGGCGGCGUGCCUAAUACAUGCAAGUAGGACGCAGUUGCGACCGGGGGAGUAACGCGUAGGUAACUGCCUAUUAGAGGGGGAUAACUAUUGGAAACGAUAGCUAAUACCGCAUACUAGUAGAUGGACCUGCGUUGUAUUAGCUAGUAGGUAGGGUAAUGGCCUACCUAGGCGACGAUACAUAGCCGACCUGAGGUGUUGGUCUGCCACGCUGGUGCUGAGACACGGCCCAGACUCCUACGGGAGGCAGCAGGAGGGAAUCUUCGGCAAUGGGGGGAACCCUGACCGAGCAAGGCCGCGGGAGUGAAGAGGGUUUUCGGAGCGUAAAGCUCGGUUGUGAAGGAAGCGGUACUUAACCAGAAAGGGACGGCUAACUACGUGCCAGCAGCCGCGGUAAUAC